AUGGUGAGUAGAUGUUGUUUCGAUGUGGCUGAGUUUAAACGCAAGUGGAAUAUGCCAAACGCUUGGAACAUCACAGGGAUUCGCAUGGAGAGGUUUGGGAUUGCUAGCGGAAAUGGAAGUAACAGGUGGGUUGUGUGUUCCCGAAACUGGACAGAAUUAGGGAUUUGUGAUUUCAUUUUGGGCAAGCUUUUUGGACAGCAAAGGUAG